AACAGUGUGCAAGGUGUUAGGGAUGGAAGACAUCCUGCUGUAGGAAAUUAGACACAGGAAGGUUGUUGAAGUUCUAGAAGUCAGUUCUCUAACAGCAACCCCUUCCCUUGCUGAUGGGUCUGGAUAACGUUCCCAUGGCAGUGCAGUAAACAUGGAAGUCUCUGACUGUCAAGGUGUGAGAAUUCCUCCCCUUUGCAAGCAGUUUUGCAAAGGAUACUAGCAGAGUCCUCUAUUCACCACUACUCAUAGUCAGUCCUCUGACUUUGUGGAGUGAGAAGCUGAUCUCCGCAGAGUUCACUCCCCAGGACUUCAACCCCCAUUCCUAUGACAAUCACAAAGCCAAGGUUGUCUAUCUAUCAUCUGUCCAGACAUCCAUACAUUAGGGUUCCCGUGUACAUCUCUUGGUUUGUCUCAUUUGCCAGGCUGACUUGCAGGACUCAGGAAAACACAUUUACUAGCCCUGUUGCAAAGACCAUCGCAAGACACAAUGGAGGGAUUUGUAGGCCCAGGGAAGGGAGCAGACACAGUCACCUCUUAGAGUUUCUGAAGCUCUCUGAACCCCUUCAUUUUGGGAUAUUAUGGAGGUCUCAUAACAUGGACAUGACCAAUUAAACCAUGCCCAUGGGUGAUUAACUCAACCCUGGUGGUUAUAAGUUGAGACUGGAAAAUGACCUCUAACCCUGAGUUAGCUUAGCCCAAUCCUAGGCUUCACUCAACCCCAAGUGAACUCAGUAGCAUACAAAGACACUGUCACUUCAGAGAUUCUAGGGUUCUUAAGGCUUAUGCCCCAGGAAAUUAGGGCAAAUACCAAAAGGCAUUUCAUAGUUGCCCAGGGUCAUAACUGUCAUUACUGGAAGACGCCAGGUCUAAAAGACUUCAACGAGAGCACCUGGCUUCAAAGAUUCUAUAUCAUUUUGACAUGACUGGCCGUUCUCAUUUUGGAUACCGAAAUUUCAUCACAUCUGCUACUGCUCCGUGAAACACAUUCGGUCAACCUUGGGAGGUUUUUUAGUUUGGUUUUAUUUCAUUUCUGAUUCUGUUUUUAAAUAAGAGAACCCUCUCCCUGAAACAAGGCAUCCGUUACAGGAACUGUAGGCCUAAUUGAGUUAGUUGGUACAUUAACUUGGGUGACAGUGGCCUCUCAUUAUUUCAGUGAAAAGGAUUGAGCCCCUUAAAGUCAACAAAUAGAGAAAGCAAAAAGGCAGAAAUAACUACAUAUUAAGCUACUUAGAGACAGUGACGCCUUAAGCCCUAGAAGCCAGAACGCAAAAAUUGUAGUUCUCAAAUCCAAUGUACUUGGGUAAAGAUGGAGUAAUAGGGAAAACAGUGUGUGGACUGAUGCCAGUUUCUACUUGCCAGUUCCCAAAGCACGGGUGAACGCAUAAAAUUGCUAGCAUUCCCUUCUGUCAGCAUCAGAUGGGGCCUAGCACCACAAAGUAGAACAGCCCACAUAAGCUUCAAACGCAACAGAAGAGGUCAUUGUACGUAGCCAUCAAGUAUGAUAGCAGGGUUAGGGAUGUAUUAUGGACAUAUGAGUCCCAGUGUGAGCCAUGGCCAUGGUUAGUAGGGUGUGUACAUAGCAGAGUUUAGCGGGGCAAAGGCAGCUGCUGUCUUUAGGGUCAUGGAGUUGUUUCAUCUCAGACUGAUGCUGUGUGCCAGCUACCCCAGCCGCUCUGGAAGCUGCGGCCAGAGGAUACCCAGAACCUGCCUGCCUAAGCUGCACAGAUUUGCCCUGGGCAACUUACAUAAAAAGUCUCAAAAGUAACAGCAAAAUGAGACCUGGGUUACACACCUCAGUGGUGGAGCCCUGAAGGGCCCACUGGGUGCAUGGUUCAUUCCCCAGCAUAUAUACAUGCAUGCACAUAUACAUACAUGCAUACAUACUUUAUAUGGAAGUCAGUCACAAUGUAAACUUACUAGCGACUUCUGACAGGUCGCAGCCAAGAAUGAUACAUGGCUUCUUGUCAAAAACCGGUCCUUUACUUAUAAAACAUACGAUUCAAACCAAAAAUCGAUAGAUCACACCUUGAAUCCCAGAACUCAGGACACAGAGGCAGGCAGAUCUCUGUGAGUUCCAGAGCAGCACGAAAUACACAGUGAGAUUUUUGUCACCAAAAAGAAAUUGAUAGGGUGUAACCUUACGCCCUCUACUUGUCAGCCCUGUGCGUUCUCUGCUGUGCUUGAAUGAGUUAGAGCAGCUUACGUGAAAUAGAUGGAUAGAUGUAAAUGAUAAUUGAAAACGGUGUUUUUGGUUUAGUGGAAAUCAUGAUUUCUAGGGAUGAUAAUGAAGGACACAGUUUGGAAACCCAAGGCACGAUAUCAUCAUUUUGAUGCUACAAUUACCUUGGCAGGCUAAAUCCCCGAGCCUUAGCUUUUUGUCUCAAAAUAUCAACCUCACGGGUUAGUUGGAAGUUCAAUCCAGUCAAAGCCACUUGUCCUAGGUGUUCAGAGAGACUAACCCCGCUGUCCCCCAGUGCCUAAACUCUACAGCAGUGCUAAUUCGCUAUGCGAACAAAGGGUGCUAGGCAGACGAUCCUUACUGGAGAGAUGCUAUCAGGUGUCUAAAGUGUCAUUGAUUGAAGCAGCACAUCUGUCAUAAUAAGAAGCAAAACGCUUUCAGAGCAGAGACAAUCUUACCCUUAUUUCCUUUAAGUGUAUGUUCUAAUUUUGCUUUGUUGGCUGUGUAGUGUUAUAAGAUGACGUCACAUGAAUGGGGUGCGGCUUUAGAUCGAAGUAUUCAUGUAUGAGAAGUCGAAGCUGCUGUUUCCUUAUAGUAUUUUAUUAUACCAGACUGGUUUGAGAAAAACAGACCUUCGGGCUUAAGGGUUAUUAGCUGUGAUGAUUAGGGACACCGAGAAGUGACUGUAUGGAAUUAUGAAUAACGGUGUUUUAUUAAGCAUUCUUGUAUCACCCUCUGCAUCAGAUCUGGGCUGUUAUGGCCAUUUCCCCAUCUCCCCCCCCCAACCCCCACCUCCAGGCUUCCUGUACUCUGCACUUUAGCACUCCUCCAACAGUGACCUCAUUUCACCUUUAGCCCGCUUGAACCUUUAGCUGGUCUCUGUUUAGCUAUGUCCUUGGCAGCUGGUGGCGUAUGUAUCACUGUAGGAUCCAGUAGUCCAGUUAAAAACCAACCCUGACAUUUACUAGCGAUAUCCUCUCCCUCCAACCUCAAAUUUACCCCUCUAAGUGAAUCUGUUGUGAAUCGCUCUACACCCCCUCAGCUGUGUCUGCCAUUCUUAUUUCUGACUAUGGGGAAUUCUUCCUAGUGAUCUUGGAUUCUGUUUCUCUGAUACAGAGAAAUGGGGAGAAUGGAAGGGGAAGGUGGUGAUGAGGGGAGGGAGAAACAUAAGAACAUCUCCGCCUUGCAGUACCGUUUAUAUAAUUACACCAUUGUGUAAUUCUUCCAGCCUUCAAGUUUUUAAGACUGUCCUAGAAAUGGUGGUAAAUAUAUGCAUCCUCAAAAAAGUCUAAUAAUGCUUGUUGAUGGAACGAAACCGGAAAGUAUUUACGAAUCAGAAUCCCCAGCUGGGCAGAUGUCGAUACUGUAGAUGUAGGUACUGACUUCCCCAUCCAACCUUACUUCCCGUUCCUCUCCCAGGGACAGAGAAUGCAUUCCUUCGUAAAGGACUGCGGAGCUGAGCAUUAGUCUAGACCUCAUGGUAAUUCAGCGGUCAUGUGGCCGUCCCCAUCUUCCAGAAGGUUCCUCAGCCUCUGACAUGGCCAUGGUUCAAACCCUGGUUGUUACAUUCCAGGGCUUCUCUUCCACGUGCAUCUGAACACACCGUCCCCUCUCUGUAUCAUUUUUUUUUAAAUUGGGAUAUUUAUGCUACUUCAGAUAGCUUGUUGUCUUGGUCAUGGUUCUCUAAACCAAUAGAAUGGAUGUAUAUUAAAAGGUCAUAUGGGCCAAGUCACACAAUCACUGCCUUCACAGUGGAGGGGCUGAGAACCCGGCAGCUGCUCAGCUCAUGAAUGUGGGUACCUCAGCUGUUCCAAUCUCUCACUGAAAACCUGGAGAGCCACUGGUCUACAUUAGAAGCCCAAAGAAGCUGAGCUCUGAUAUUAGGGAAGGAGUAUAACACCAGCAGUGGCAGUGGCGAUGGCAGCAGCGGCAGCAGAGCAGAUGAACUUGCUGGUAAGAGAGCAAGCAAACAGGGCAAAGACAAGCUUUUUCUUCUUCUUCUUUUAAACCAGGGUGCCACAGGAAGAUGCCACGCACAUUUAGAGUGGGUCCCCCACUUUGGAUACCUAGUCAGGAAACUUGCCUUUUAGCUGACUGCAGAGCUGCUCAAGUUGGCAACCAAGAUCAGCCUUCGCCCUUAAUCUACCUGUCCUUCAAUGUCCAGUAGGAUGGCCUUCCCCUGACCCAGUCAUAUGAAGCUUUAGGUGGUCACCUAGUUCGUCACUUUGCACAGGCUGUCUCCCUGGCCAGGCGAUCAGAUCAGCUUGGUAAGCUGUGUAAACCGUGUAGUAAAUGAUUCCUAAGCUACGGCUCUUUGGUUCGUAUUCUUUAUUAUGAUGUCAGUGUCCUGUCCCUAGCAGACGCUUAAUAAAAUGAAAGCAAUAUUAAAUUAACAGCACUUCACAGAUAGAAGCCUCUCUCCUCUCUUUAGGAGAAGAUAUAAUUCUAGGAUUUGAGAUUAAAUCUUAAAUUUUUUGAAUUAACAAGUUCUCUGGGGGGCUGUUUCCAGUUU
rnacentral:lncRNA from 1 species